rnacentral:misc_RNA from 1 species
GGAACCAUUGACUGGUUUGACCAGACUGGUUUUGGUUCCAAACUAGACCUUGACUAGGUCUAAUGUUGUGAAUCAAACAAGAUAAAUUGGUGCACUUCGUGAGGAAUACUAUUUCGUGACCAAAUGAGGCCUUAGUCCGUGUGACAUUGUUUCUAUGAUGAACCUUCUUGUUUGACAUGCUAAGUUGCUAAAAGGUACCUAACUUUUGUGUCACGUAAUAAUUUUAUAAUUACAAUACUUCAAUUUUUG